GAUGAAGAACGCAGCGAAAUGCGAUACGUAAUGUGAAUUGCAGAAUUCAGUGAAUCAUCGAGUCUUUGAACGCACAUUGCGCCCCCUGGUAUUCCGGGGGGCAUGCCUGUCCGAGCGUCAUUGCUGCCCUCAAGCCCGGGUUGUGUGUUGGGUCUCGUCCCCCUUCCCGGGGGGACGGGCCCGAAAGGCAGCGGCGGCACCGCGUCCGGUCCUCGAGCGUAUGGGGCUUUGUCACCCGCUCUGUAGGCCCGGCCGGCGCUUGCCGAUCAACCAAAACUUUUUUCCAGGUUGACCUCGGAUCAGGUAGGGAUACCCGCUGAACUUAAGCAUAUCAAUAAGCGGAGGA
rnacentral:misc_RNA from 1 species